CCUACGGGAGGCAGCAGUGGGGAAUCUUGCGCAAUGGGCGAAAGCCUGACGCAGCCAUGCCGCGUGAAUGAUGAAGGUCUUAGGAUUGUAAAAUUCUUUCACCGGGGACGAUAAUGACGGUACCCGGAGAAGAAGCCCCGGCUAACUUCGUGCCAGCAGCCGCGGUAAUACGAAGGGGGCUAGCGUUGCUCGGAAUUACUGGGCGUAAAGGGAGCGUAGGCGGAUAGUUUAGUCAGAGGUGAAAGCCCAGGGCUCAACCUUGGAAUUGCCUUUGAUACUGGCUAUCUUGAGUACGGAAGAGGUAUGUGGAACUCCGAGUGUAGAGGUGAAAUUCGUAGAUAUUCGGAAGAACACCAGUGGCGAAGGCGACAUACUGGUCCGUUACUGACGCUGAGGCUCGAAAGCGUGGGGAGCAAACAGGAUUAGAUACCCUGGUAGUCCACGCUGUAAACGAUGAGUGCUAGUUGUCGGCAUGCANNNUGUCGUGUACGCNGCUACGACAUAGUACGACUCCGCCGUCGGAGGUACGGUCGCGAGAAGUAAACGUAACGUUAAAGAAGUAGUUACGGCGUGAGACGNGCGACGGACGACGACGAGGGAGGAGG
rnacentral:rRNA from 1 species